rnacentral:lncRNA from 1 species
UUUGGUCAAAGACUUUCAGAAUUAUCGACCUAUAAGAUACAUAGGAUGUUCGCUCAUCUUAUUAAGAGUGACCGAUCUCUUAUUGAUCACUCAUAACCUCUAUGCAUACUUCUCCACAUCCAGAACAUCCCACAUAAGGAUCAAAAAAUCAAGUUAAAAAGUAAACCGAAACAUGGAUUCAUGUACACAAAGUAUCAUAACAAUCUCAGGUCAA